CUUGUGGCACCUUGCUCAAGUAGAGUUUGUAACAGCUGGGACAUUUCAGAUCAUUUUUGAGGGCCAAAUAGGGUCAAAUGAUGAGUCUGAUGUAGCUAUAGAUGACGUCUCACUGCAUCGUGGGUUCUGCAAAGCCCCACGGCCCCCAGUGGUUAACGAGACCAUCACGACGGCUGCCCCACGGCCCCCAGUGGUUAACGAGACAGAAAAGACAGGAACCCCACUGCCCUCUGCUUCAAACGAGACCACCACGACGGCAGCCCCACGGCACCCUGCUUCAAACGAGACCACCACGACGGCAGCCCCACGGCACCCUGCUUCAAACGAGACCACCACGACGG